rnacentral:misc_RNA from 1 species
AGAGGAGCUGGAUGGAUGGGGUGUAGGGCCAGUAGGUGCCCAUCUUGUAGAACUUGAGGUAGUCCUUCCAGUCGAAGAAGACCCGCACCGACUUGGCCGUCUUGCUCGCCUCCAGCGCCUUGGGGCUCGCGCACACGAUGCCCAGACCCGUCGGCAGCGAGAGCGCCUUCUGCGAACCCGUCAGCGCCACGUCCACUCCCCACUCAUCCAUGCGGAAGUCCAACGCACAUAUCGAUGACACCCCGUCCACCAGUAGUAGCGCCGGGUGCCUGUGCUUGUCGAGGAUUUUGCGGACGGCGGAAAGGUCGUUGGUGACUCCAGUGGCGGUCUCGUUGUGGACGAUGCAGAUGGCCUUGAUGGAGUGGGAGGGGUCCUGGCGGAGCUUGUAGUCGAGGGCGGCGAGGUCGGCGCCGUAGCCCCAGUCGCUCUCCACCACGUCCACGUUGAAGUUGAGGCGUUGCUGCUGGUCGAUCCACAGCAGGCUGAACUGCCCGAUCAGGAACGACACGAUCUUGUCCCCCGGCGACAGCGUGUUCGUCAGCGCGCUCUCCCACGCCCCCGUCCCGGUGGUGGGGAAGAGGAAGGGGGUGCCGGUGGUGGUCUUGAAGAUCUGCUUGACGUCCUCGAGGAGGGUCUUGGUGAGGGCGGGCACCGCCGGCGAGCGGUAGUCCUCGUUCUGACGGCUCAUGGCGCGGAUCACCUGGUCCGGGAUGUUCACCGGCCCAG